UUUGGGUUCGAUGUUUCUCUUGCUUCCGAGUUUGGAGGCAGCCCAAAGGACCAGCAAAUGAGUGGAACAGCCCUGAUGUCAAUAACAGCUCUGAGGUGCCACCUGACCCCAUGGAUGCUGAGAAUAACCAGUGCAACCCUGAGGAAAGUCAUAGUCUGCUGCCCGGGGGGAACUCAGACUCUGCCUGGGACUCUGUCAUCUCUGUCAUGUGGGAAGUGAUGCCCCAGAGCGGGGCGCCCCAAUCCCCCAUCAACUGCUCAGAACCCUCUACUGGGACAUUGGAGCUGUCAGCGGGACCAUGAG